CAGUCGCCGCGGUAAUACAGAGGGUGCGAGCGUUAAUCGGAUUUACUGGGCGUAAAGCGUGCGUAGGCGGCUUUUUAAGUCGGAUGUGAAAUCCCUGAGCUUAACUUAGGAAUUGCAUUCGAUACUGGGAAGCUAGAGUAUGGGAGAGGAUGGUAGAAUUCCAGGUGUAGCGGUGAAAUGCGUAGAGAUCUGGAGGAAUACCGAUGGCGAAGGCAGCCAUCUGGCCUAAUACUGACGCUGAGGUACGAAAGCAUGGGGAGCAAACAGGAUUAGAUACCCCCGUAGUCCCUGUCUCUUAUAA
rnacentral:rRNA from 1 species